CCUACGGGGGGCAGCAGUGGGGAAUAUUGCACAAUGGGCGCAAGCCUGAUGCAGCCAUGCCGCGUGUGUGAAGAAGGCCUUCGGGUUGUAAAGCACUUUCAGCGGGGAGGAAGGCGGUGAGGUUAAUAACCUCAUCGAUUGACGUCACCCGCAGAAGAAGCACCGGCUAACUCCGUGCCAGCAGCCGCGGUAAUACGGAGGGUGCAAGCGUUAAUCGGAAUUACUGGGCGUAAAGCGCACGCAGGCGGUCUGUCAAGUCGGAUGUGAAAUCCCCGGGCUCAACCUGGGAACUGCAUUCGAAACUGGCAGGCUAGAGUCUUGUAGAGGGGGGUAGAAUUCCAGGUGUAGCGGUGAAAUGCGUAGAGAUCUGGAGGAAUACCGGUGGCGAAGGCGGCCCCCUGGACAAAGACUGACGCUCAGGUGCGAAAGCGUGGGGAGCAAACAGGAUUAGAUACCCCGGUAGUC
rnacentral:rRNA from 1 species